UGGCUAAGUGGUAAAGCACUUGGUUGCCGAACCGAGGGGUCCCGGGUUCGAAUCCUGG
rfam:Biomphalaria glabrata isolate BB02 unplaced genomic scaffold LGTN_random_Scaffold9261, whole genome shotgun sequence.